rnacentral:misc_RNA from 1 species
AUGAUCAAAUUUCUGUUCCUGUAGAAGUUGAUGAUGAAGAAAUUCCUGAAGAGGAAGCUGUAUGUAGGAUCUGUCUUGAUGUAUGUGAAGAAGGAAAUACACUCAAAAUGGAGUGCAGUUGCAAAGGUGCUCUUCAACUUGUACAUGAAGAAUGUGCAGUUAGGUGGUUUAGCACAAAAGGAAAUAAGAACUGUGAUGUAUGUGGGCAAGAAGUUAAGAACUUACCUGUAACUUUGCUUCGAGUGACGACCUCGGCUCAAAGCAACAACAGACAGGAACAGAGUAACCAUUUGAGGUCACAAUCUAUAAGUGCAUGGCAGGACUUUGUAGUGCUUGUCUUAAUUAGCACCAUAUGCUAUUUCUUCUUUCUGGAGCAAUUAUUGAUUCAUGACAUGAAGACUCAAGCGGUCACAAUUGCUGCACCAUUUGCAUUUACUUUAGGCCUUUUGGCAUCUAUCUUCGCCGUCAUUUUAGCAAUCAGAGAAUACAUAUGGACAUAUGCUGCUCUUGAAUUUGCACUCAUAGCCGUUUUUGUCCACUUAUUCUAUAGCUUGCUUCAUCUGAAGGCCAUUUAUGCUAUA